rnacentral:rRNA from 1 species
GAUGAACGCUGGCGGCGUGCCUAAUACAUGCAAGUCGAGCGAAGCGGGGACGGGUGAGUAACACGUGGAUAACCUCCUAUAAGACUGGGAAAACUUCGGGAAACCGGAGCUAAACCGGAUACUUAUCGAUGGAUCCGCGCUGCAUUAGCUAGUGUGUAAGGUAACGGCUUACCAAGGCAACGAUGCAUAGCCGACCUGAGAGGGUGAUCAGCCACACUGGAACUGAGACACGGUCCAGACUCCUACGGGAGGCAGCAGUAGGGAAUAUUCCGCAAUGGGCGAAAGCCUGACGGAGCCAGGCCGCGUGAGUGAUGAAGGUCUUCGGAUCGUAAAACUCUGUUAGUAGGGAAGCGGUACCUAAUCAGAAAGCCACGGCUAACUACGUGCCAGCCGCCGCGGUAAUUC